GAUGAACGCUGGCGGCGUGCCUAAUACAUGCAAGUCGAGCGAACAGAUGAGGAGCUUGCUCCUCUGACGUUAGCGGCGGACGGGUGAGUAACACGUGGAUAACCUACCUAUAAGACUGGGAUAACUUCGGGAAACCGGAGCUAAUACCGGAUAAUAUAUUGAACCGCAUGGUUCAAUAGUGAAAGACGGUUUUGCUGUCACUUAUAGAUGGAUCCGCGCCGCAUUAGCUAGUUGGUAAGGUAACGGCUUACCAAGGCGACGAUGCGUAGCCGACCUGAGAGGGUGAUCGGCCACACUGGAACUGAGACACGGUCCAGACUCCUACGGGAGGCAGCAGUAGGGUAUCUUCCGCAAUGGGCGAAAGCCUGACGGAGCAACGCCGCGUGAGUGAUGAAGGUCUUCGGAUCGUAAAACUCUGUUAUUAGGGAAGAACAAAUGUGUAAGUAACUAUGCACGUCUUGACGGUACCUAAUCAGAAAGCCACGGCUAACUACGUG
rnacentral:rRNA from 1 species